rnacentral:rRNA from 1 species
ACAACCCGUUCGGUAUUAAUUAAUUGAUCCAACACUAUGCAGGAUCACAAAGUAACUCUCUAUUUUACGUAGUUUGGUAAGUUUAGUCUCAUCGUACGUGCAUACGGUAAGUUAGAUCUCUCAUUUUUUUACUAUUCAUUUUUCCUUUGUCAUCGGACGUGAUGAUCAUGAAAUGAGCAACUUGGGUCGAGCAAGGAGAGGAGCAGAAGAGACGAUAGGGUUCUUGUCUUGGUCGGUGGGUGGAGAGAGAGAGGGGUUCUUGUCUCGUACCGGCGGCGGCGGAGCUAGACGGGGCAGGCCCGUAGAGGCCGCUGUGCCACCUGUGGAUGUCUAAGAGGAGCAGAGGGAGAUGGUAAAGGGGGAUAAAUAAAAUAGGCGGCGGCGGUUUUUGCAGCGGUGGUGAGUUAGGAUCGCGGCGGACUAAGUCCAGGCCACCCGAACGGUGGCCAACGUCGCCGUUGCUGCAGAGGUACGGAUGUAGGAGGGGUCGCGUUGGUGUGCGUGCUCCGCACGUCGGUGCCCGCAGCCCGCACACGCCGAAGUGGCCGCGACGAGCCAGCGUACCGAGACGACGAUUGCCACACCUGAUCGGUGUAGGAUGACGAUGAUGACGUUCUAUUUAUCUAGUUCCACUUAUCUACGAGUACCUGACUAAGUUUGGCUCCACUUCUAUCUGUUCUUCAGUUCGUUCUUCCCGAUUGUGUUGUUCCAUGAACUAAUCAUGGACUACCGCGUACGCUGGGUUUCCCGAAGUGGCGUCACUUCCUGUUGUCACACCGUCUUCCACUUUUCCGUUCACCACCACCAUGAGGUCACAUACACACACACACUCCACCUUACCUGGUGUCACUUUCCUUACCGAGGAUAAAUAUCACCCCAAUCAUCGAUAUAGCCAAACCUCUCCGUAAUGUAGACCGUACGUACGCACCAAUCCGAACGUACGUACGGAGGUGAACACAGAGAACAUCCGACAUGAUCCCUGUUCACAUUAAACGAACUGACCGGUAAUCAACCGUAAAUGAAAUACACCUUUUUUUACUCUGGUUCUAGACUAAUAUUUAAACAUCUUAUGUACUUCCAAACCUUUUAUAAAACAACACGUACCAGUUUACGAUAAACGAUAUUAUUUUUAAUUUACAGUC